AUUAAAAGUCCCCAUCUGGAGCAGCGGCAGGACGGAGAGCCCAGAGGAGCGGCCCUCUGAAAGGACUGGAGACCCUUGAUAAGACGAAAAGUCCGGUAAAACGUGUCUUGUCAGAGAAAGGUUGAACUGGGACGUGGAAGGAGGGUAGACUGGGAAAAUGGAGAAGAGGAGACACCCAAGAUGAAGAUCAAAUUCUGGCUCCAAUCUUCCUUUCCCCUUGCUUCUCUGAAGCCUUUAUCAGCUAAAGAACCGCCGUCCUGUCUCCGUUGGAAUGUGCCUCUCUGAGCACUGAUUGUAGGUGGCUGCUGAAAUUUGGCCUUUUCGACAGGGCUGGAAUAACCUCACUGUUCUCCUAUCUCUUUCCAUUAAAGUCGCCGUCACGCUUGACUUUUUAACGACUGAA